rnacentral:rRNA from 1 species
GACGAACGCUGGCGGCGUGCUUAACACAUGCAAGUCGAACGAAGAGCGACGGAAGCUUGCUUCUAUCAAUCUUAGUGGCGCACGGGUGAGUAACGCGUAAUCAACCUGCCCUUCAGAGGGGGACAACAGUUGGAAACGACUGCUAAUACCGCAUACGAUCUAACCUCGGCAUCGAGGAUAGAUGAAAGGUGGCCUCUACAUGUAAGCUAUCACUGGAGGAGGGGAUUGCGUCUGAUUAGGUAGUUGGAGGGGUAACGGCCCACCAAGGCGAUGGUCAGUAGCCGGUCUGGAAGGAUGAACGGCCACAUUGGGACUGAGACACGGCCCAGACUCCUACGGGAGGCAGCAGUGGGGAAUCUUCCGCAAUGGACGAAAGUCUGACGGAGCAACGCCGCGUGAGUGAUGACGGCCUUCGGGUUGUAAAGCUCUGUUAAUCGGGACGAAAGGCCUUCUUGCGAAUAGUGAGAAGGAUUGACGGUACCGGAAGAGAAAGCCACGGCUAACUACGUG